rnacentral:rRNA from 1 species
CGGACUAGGAUAUAGCUGGUUUUCUGCGAAAUCUAUUUUAGUAGAUGAUUUAUUGUUUUUAUUAGUGGGUAUAGCACUGAAUAUCUCGUAAUUUCAAUUAUUAGAAGGGAGUAUGAGAGUACUUACUUUAGAUAUUUAAUCUCAGAAUAACUAAUAAGAAGAUAAGAUAAGUUCUCAGACUUUUUGCGAUAAGGUGAAAAGUCAAAAGGGAAACAGCCCAGAAUAAUGUAUAAAGUUCCAA